UGCGAGGUGGCCGAAUGGUUAAAGGCACCGGGUUAGGGUCCUAGUCCCAGCAAUGGGUUCGCGAGUUCGAAUCUCGCUCUCGUCA